CCAAUAGCGUAUAUUAAAGUUGCUGCAGUUAAAAAGCUCGUAGUUGAAUUUCGGGACUAAUAUGUUGGUCGUGCCUCGGUACGUACUGGUAUUAUUGGUUUCUCCCUUCUGAAGAACCUUGAUGUCAUUAAUUUGGUGUCUUGGGGAAUCAGGACUGUUACUUUGAAAAAAUUAGAGUGUUUAAAGCAGGCUCGCGCUUGAAUACAUUAGCAUGGAAUAAUGAAAUAGGACGUUUGAUUCUAUUUUGUUGGUUUCUAGGAUCGACGUAAUGAUUAAUAGGGAUAGUUGGGGGCAUUAGUAUUCAAUUGUCAGAGGUGAAAUUCUUGGAUUUAUUGAAGACUAACUACUGCGAAAGCAUUUGCCAAGGAUGUUUUCAUUAAUCAAGAACGAAAGUUAGGGGAUCGAAGACGAUCAGAUACCGUCGUAGUCUUAACCAUAAACUAUGCCGACUAGGGAUCGGAUGAUGUUAAUUUUUUAAUGACUCAUUCGGCGCCUUACG
rnacentral:rRNA from 1 species